GGUUGUUGAAAUAUAAAUAAACAUAAGCACAUGUGUUAUUUGGGGUUCUAUUGUAAAUUUAAAUUUGUUUGUCACUAUCGUGUCAAAAAUAAGCAUACAUUUGAAAAUGCCAAACUUGAGUAAAUAUAAGGGAUUUUGUGAUUUGUCUAUAGUAAUUAACGAUGUUUCACAACUCCAUAUAAAAAAUAUGCUUCAUACUGCUGUAGAAUUAGGUUUCGAAGUGGUCGCACUGAACCGAGUGCUGGACGAAUCGGUGUUUGAAGGGGAUAAAAAGAAGAAGAAGAAGAAAGGGGAACCGAGAGACACGCCUGACUUGGUACCGCCGCCCCUGCAGCUUGGCGACUUGAGAGAGGCGUUCCGAGAAAAGCUUACGAUUUUGCAAAGGUUGACCUUCACAUUCACUGACAAUUUGCAGGCCCAUAAAGUGAUCCAGUCAGAAAAUGUGAAAAAAUACGACCUUCUGGCUGUCAUCCCCACAACCGAGACUGCGUUCCAGCAUGUGUGCACGACGCUGGAGGCAGAUAUAGUAUCGUUCGACCCAGUAAACAAGCCGGUGUGGUGCCCUCGCAAGCUCUACAACCUGGCCUCCGAGCGAGGCCUGUUUUUCGAGCUGAUGUACGCGCCAGCCAUCCUCGACACGACCAGCCGGAGAAACAUCAUCCAGACCGCUCACGGCUAUCACUCCUGCGGCAAGUCCAAGAACAUUAUCAUCAGUAGUGGAGCAUCAAAACCAUUGCAGAUUCGCGGACCGUAUGACAUUCUUUGUUUAGGCCUCAUAUUCGGAUUAAGUGAAGAACAAUCCAAAACUGCCAUCACAAGUUCAUGCAGAGCUCUUCUGAUCAAAGCUGAGGGUCGUCGCUACGGCAAGACCCUGUUGACGAUACAGCUGAAGACUCCCUCUUCACCGACCGACUCUCCCGCUGGUGAUGAGAUGGAAGUGGACAUUGAACCAGCACACAAACGUCAGCGGCCAGAUGACUCGUGAAGGGAAAAAAAAGCAAGGAUAUUAAGAGGAUGGAAAAAAAUUGGAAUUUUAGGAAAGGAACUGGCAUGGCUUUGAAUUAUACCGAACUAUGAACUACCCCAGCAUUUUCCUGCAAUGAUUUCAAGAAACCAUGGGAAACUAAAAUCAGGAUGGCAGCAUCAGUAUUCAAACCCAGGACUGGAUCGGCAUGGCCACCUGACAAUGGGAAAUGGAUAUGCCACUUCAUCACAACCAGAGAUGUUAGGUGAAGAGCUACUACGAGAGAAUGAGGCGACCCAUCACAGCAUUGUUGCCACCCAUUCAGCCAACUUAUGGUCGACAAAACAGAGAACCCCACCUUGGGAGUACUGCAAAUAGCCUAUUCAGUCUAGGAUCACGGACUUUCGGUCAUCCAGACAGGGUCCGGCCCAUCUAGUCCGGGUUAGCGGGACUCCACCGUGUCCAGAGCUGAAUGAACACUUACGGCCGGACUGCAGUCCAAGACGCACAUCUUCCCUUGCCUGAUGACUUCUCGGAUGGAAUCCAACUUGGUGCCGUACAGGUGGCCAUUGUGCUCUCCACUUUCCAAGAACUUGCUCUGUCGUAUUUCUUCCUUCAUCGUCUCGACAUCAGUGAACCAGUAACCACGACCGUUCUCUUCCAGCACUCUCGGGGGACGUGACGUAACUGAACCACAAACAGAGAGCAUUUCACUUUAUUGAAUGGAUAGUGAAAUACUAUCAUUACUACAACAAAAUAAACAUUCACACUCAAUUUUCACUUACCUACUUCAAGAAACAAAAAACUCUGAACAUACAUUGUCAUACAAAACUACCAGUAAUAUUCUAUGUGAAAUAAUGUUAACAGGAACUGGGGCUAUGUGAACGUACAGCUGUGUUAUUUAACACAUUACAUAAAAAAAUAUUGUAAAUUUCAUCUUCAUGUACUCUUUCACGCUGCUUUUUAAAAUACUUAUGUUUACCAAAAUAA